rnacentral:sRNA from 1 species
AAUUAAAUCAUUAAUUUUCGUUUUUAAUUAUUAGUUUUUAGGUAACUUUUCCAAAAAUUAAUGUUAUCCAAGAUCAGAACAGAAUUAAACAUGUUAUCCAGGAUCCGAACAGAGUUAAACCGGGUAAAACCCACCCAUUUGAAUUAAUUGUUGAAUUAUGGCUCAAAUCUUCAACAUUAUCUUCAAAAAUCCCAUUCAAAAAUGUAUAUAUAGAUUCCCUAAAAGUGCCUAAUAGUGCAACAUUCUCAUAAUCGAAAUGCAUGUAUUUUUU